AUCACUCUCUGAGACUACUCGUUCUUUUGAGUCACAUAAAAGAUUCGUUCAAAAUGAUCGAAUCGCUCAUGAACGACCCAUCACUAGUAUAUAAUUUGCGGGCGUCAGGGAACCGCUAUCAAUAUGCGGGAGACUCCCGGAACUUCCGGGAAAGGUGGGAUGUCUGGGACAAGCAUGUACUUUAGAGAGUCAAGCUAAAAUAGAACAAGAUAUUUGCAAAAACUGAAAAUAAACAAUGAGGUGUCAUUAACGGAUCCUUUACAUAAGACUCUAAUACUUAGACUAACUCAACAAAUUUCCUCAAAGUACAUCAAUGUUUACCUGAAGAGACUUAUCCAGAUGCGAGGGAGGCGAUGAAAGUGCGUAGUAGUUUAGAUGAUGCAUUGUUUCCUCAGCAAAAAGAGUUCCUGGUAAUCAACUACACUACCCAUGAUCCAGCAGAGAAAGAUCCACCAAUCAGAGAAGUUCAGCCAGGAAAGCCCGCCAGAAAUCAUAUCCACCUUUUUCCUGAACUCGGAAGUGUUCUACGAUUCGACUGUUUUCAAUUUCCUGUCUCCAGUGUUUUCUCACCCAUUGGGAUAAAUGCUUAGAAGAUGAAGCAGGCUACAGAGCUGAAAUAUUCUUCUAAAAAUCUUCAUGUGUUCUACAGAAGAAAGAAAGUCAUACACAUCAGAGAUGGCAUGAGGAUGAAAGAAAGUCAUACACAUCUGGGUUGACAUGAGGGUGUUUCACUGUGUGCACUGAGUGUCCUGCACAACUCAAUAAUGAAGUCAUGAAGGGGAGCCCAGGACACACGUCCCCCGAAUCCACUUCAUCCCAACAAUCUCGACCUGCUUCCAGCCAGCCUUCAUAAUCUUCAUC